rnacentral:rRNA from 1 species
CUCCUUUGACGUUAGCGGCGGACGGGUGAGUAACACGUGGGUAACCUACCUAUAAGACUGGGAUAACUUCGGGAAACCGGAGCUAAUACCGGAUAAUAUUUCGAACCGCAUGGUUCGAUAGUGAAAGGNGGUUUUGCUAUCACUUAUAGAUGGACCCGCGCCGUAUUAGCUAGUUGGUAAGGUAACGGCUUACCAAGGCGACGAUACGUAGCCGACCUGAGAGGGUGAUCGGCCACACUGGAACUGAGACACGGUCCAGACUCCUACGGGAGGCAGCAGCG